ACUCUUAAACUCCUUACUCGAAGGGACAUUGUUUUGACAAAUGACGUAUACAUCCUACAAAUUUAACACAUAAAUAUGAUUAUCUUUUAUUGACCAAUUGGCCAAAUAGACACGAGGUAGACUUCUAAUGGGCCCAACACGCCUUGGGUGUUAGGUCGACUUAGUUCAAAAUGCGCUAGAAAUCGGGAUUUGGUUUCGCUCUACGCUAAUUGAUUAAGAGUGGCUUUUGAAAGACCGGGAACCCAAGUGAACAACUUAGGCUGGAAUUCACAACAACCAUUGGACGCAUGACGUACCAAUAAAUCGCCGAUCCUUCCGGAAAAAGGUUGAGUAUAAAAAAGUCCGACUGCGAUUCCGCAAAACCGUCCUUUAAUAUACUAUACAUACAUGUC
rnacentral:lncRNA from 1 species